rnacentral:rRNA from 1 species
GGCUUAUUGUUUAUUUAUAUUAAGUCUUACCUGCUCAAUGAUAUAUUAUUAUAUUAAAUAGCCGCAGUAUAUUGACUGUGCAAAGGUAGCAUAAUCAUUUGUCUUUUAAUUGGGGACUUGUAUGAAUGGUUCGAUGAAAUAUCAACUUUCUUUAUAUAAAAUUGAAAAAAUUAAUUUUUUAGUUAAAAAGCUAAAAUGAUUUUAAGGGACGAGAAGACCCUAUAGAAUUUUAUACUUUUGAUUAUAAUUUAUUUUGGUUAUUUAUUAUAAUUUAUUUUUAAAAAUAUUUUGUUGGGGUGACAGGGAAAUUUAUUUAACUUUCUUUAUUUAUAUUUUAUUAAUGUAUAUAUUUAUGAUCCUAUUUUAAGGAUAUUAAGAUUAAAUUACCUUAGGGAUAACAGCGUAAUUUCUUUGGAGAGUUCUUAUCGAUAGAGAAGUUUGCGACCUCGAUGUUGGAUUAAAAUUGGUGUUAGGUGUAGGGGCUUAAAUUACCAGGUCUGUUCGACCUUUAAAUUUUUACA